rnacentral:rRNA from 1 species
CCGGCACGGGUGAGUAACACGUAUCCAACCUGCCGUCUACUCUUGGCCAGCCUUCUGAAGGAAGAUUAAUCCAGGAUGGCAUCAUGAGUUCACAUGUCCGCAUGAUUAAAGGUAUUUUCCGGUAGACGAUGGGGAUGCGUUCCAUUAGAUAGUAGGCGGGGUAACGGCCCACCUAGUCAACGAUGGAUAGGGGUUCUGAGAGGAAGGUCCCCCACAUUGGAACUGAGACACGGUCCAA